GACAAAAAGGCCGCGGCGAGCAGCGCACACAAGAAAAAAAGACGCAAAAGACAGCAGCAAAAACGCGAACCGCCGAACGCCCCAAAACAGGCAUGCCCACCACGAAAGAAAUGGAAAAAGCGACCAAACACAGACAAACCUUUUUUUUUUUUUUUUUGGGGGGUCAGCGUUGGGAUUUUUGGCCCAUGGGGGGCAGACUUCUCUCCCCACUUCCCCUUGGUUUUAAAAGGUUUUCUGCUCCUAAAGCCCUUGUAAACCGGUGGAAGGGCCCAUUGUUUAACGCCUGUACGCCUUGGCCGUUAACGCCCGUAAUGACCUCCGGGUCAAUCCUCCACCUCAGUCGGGGUUGGUAACCGGAAGUGUCCCAAGGAUUACCCACAAUUAGGUGGUGGUAACUAAGGACAAGGGUUUCGCUCAUUACGGAACUUAAAUCCAACAUGUUCACGACCUCGAGAUGACGUCAACCAUGCAGCACCUAUAUUUGAGUUGCGGAAGGCAGCAAUCCAUGUGUAGAAAUUUAUCGGCAAGACAUGGGCAGGUACGCUUGUGCCGAAGGCGUCCACUUGGACCGCUAGCUGACACUGAGUUGCCAAAGCGUGGUGAGCAAACAGGAGUUUGAUACCUUGCGUAGUGCACUCCGCAAGCGAUGUAGAUUAGCCGUUAGGAUCCUCGAGAUGAUAUCAAGGCAGCCAACGGGUUAACUAGAUCGCCUGCGGAGUACAGCCGCAAGGUAAAAACUCAAAUGAAUUGACGGGGGUUCGCACAAGCAGUGGCAGCAUGCGGUUUAAUUCGAAGCAACGCGAAGAACCUUACCUGGCCAUGACAUGCUGAGAACUUUCCAGAGAUGGAUUGGUGCCUUCGGGAACUCAGACACAGGUGCUGCAUGGCUGUCGUCAGCUCGCGUCGUGAGAUGUUGGGUUAAGUCUUGUAACGAGGGCAACCCUUGUCGUUAGUUACCAGCACUUAGGGUGGGCACUCUAAGGAGACUGCCGGUGACAAACCGGAGGAAGGUGGGGAUGACGUCAAGUCAUCAUGGCCCUUACGGCCAGGGCUACACACGUGCUACAAUGGUCGGUACAAAGGGUUGCCAAGCCGCGAGGUGGAGCUAAUCCUCAUAAAACCGAUCGUAGUCCGGAUCGCAGUCUGCACUCGUACGUCAUGCCC
rnacentral:misc_RNA from 1 species